GGGCAAUUAGCUCAGUUGGAUAGAGCGCCAGCCUCCGGAGCUGGAGGCCGCAGGUUCGAAUCCUGCAUUGCCCACCA
rnacentral:tRNA from 1 species